UGGGAUUACAGGUGUGAGCCACUGUGUCCGGCCAAGUCCCAACUUUUUUUGAGAGGGUCUCACUCUGUCACCGAGGCUGGAGUGCAGUGACAUAAUCAUGGCUCACUGCAGCCUCGAUGCCCCAGGCUCAAGUGAUCAUCCUUCUUCCUUGGUAGUUGGGACUACAGGUAUGCAUGACAUCUCGCCAAUUUUUAAAGUUUUUGUAGAGGCUAGGCAUGGUGGCUAACCCUUGUAAUCCCAGCACUUUGGGAGGCCGAGGCGGGCAGAUGACCUGAGGCCAGGAGUUCGAGACCAACCUGGGCAACAUGAAGCCCUGUCUCUACAAAAAGGCUGGGUGAGGUGGCUCACGCCUGUAAUCCCAG
rnacentral:lncRNA from 1 species